UCUUGUCUGCCCCGCCCGAGGCGAGAAGGGCGCCGUCGUCGGUCACGUCCAGCGCGAGGGCGGGGAGGGAGUGUCCGUAGAGGGACAGGAAGAAGCGAAGGGUGUCCUCGUGGAACACCUUGAUGGUGUGGUCGACGAGCGCCACGGAGAGCAGCAGCUGCUGCUGCUGGCGGUGGGGGGAGUACCGCACGGCGAGCACCUCGUCCGUCAUGGUGAGGGU
rnacentral:SRP_RNA from 15 species